GUUUCAUCUCAGUGCGUAGUUCAAAAGCCAGCAUCUGUGAUGGUACGAGGCUACAAAAGGGAAGACACUAGCACACCAUUAAAGAAGGAUGACAUUUCUAACCAGCUCUUUAAAUGAGCUGACCCUGUUUGCAGCAGUAGAACAUCUAACUUCUAACGACGCCAAAGAGUGGACCAGAUCUCCUGAGGGUAAUACACCUAUUACUGACAAGUACCACUUUGAAAUUGAAAAACUAUCCCUUUAACGUUUUCUGUUAGUCCUGAAGUCUUAAUGUGCGCAGAGUGCCGGAUAAUGAGACAAUCAGUCCUGGGUUAAUGUGAUUCCCUGAGCAGAUGGAAAACAGAUACAGAGACACUGAGAUGUGUCCCAUGUGGACUCUGUUAUAGGAACAAACAUAAGGCGGUCUGUGAGCUCUGUUGAGGAGCAGCUGGGGGUUUUGCUGCAGUACAGAGUGAUGCACAGAAUACCAAACGGUCUGAGUCCUGAGCGUGCAGCGUUUGUGAG